rnacentral:rRNA from 1 species
GAUGAACGCUGGCGGCGUGCCUAAUACAUGCAAGUCGAGCGAACGGACGAGAAGCUUGCUUCUCUGAUGUUAGCGGCGGACGGGUGAGUAACACGUGGAUAACCUACCUAUAAGACUGGGAUAACUUCGGGAAACCGGAGCUAAUACCGGAUAAUAUUUUGAACCGCAUGGUUCAAAAGUGAAAGACGGUCUUGCUGUCACUUAUAGAUGGAUCCGCGCUGCAUUAGCUAGUUGGUAAGGUAACGGCUUACCAAGGCAACGAUGCAUAGCCGACCUGAGAGGGUGAUCGGCCACACUGGAACUGAGACACGGUCCAGACUCCUACGGGAGGCAGCAGUAGGGAAUCUUCCGCAAUGGGCGAAAGCCUGACGGAGCAACGCCGCGUGAGUGAUGAAGGUCUUCGGAUCGUAAAACUCUGUUAUUAGGGAAGAACAUAUGUGUAAGUAACUGUGCACAUCUUGACGGUACCUAAUCAGAAAGCCACGGCUAACUACGUGCCAGCAGCCGCGGUAAUACGUAGGUGGCAAGCGUUAUCCGGAAUUAUUGGGCGUAAAGCGCGCGUAGGCGGUUUUUUAAGUCUGAUGUGAAAGCCCACGGCUCAACCGUGGAGGGUCAUUGGAAACUGGAAAACUUGAGUGCAGAAGAGGAAAGUGGAAUUCCAUGUGUAGCGGUGAAAUGCGCAGAGAUAUGGAGGAACACCAGUGGCGAAGGCGACUUUCUGGUCUGUAACUGACGCUGAUGUGCGAAAGCGUGGGGAUCAAACAGGAUUAGAUACCCUGGUAGUCCACGCCGUAAACGAUGAGUGCUAAGUGUUAGGGGGUUUCCGCCCCUUAGUGCUGCAGCUAACGCAUUAAGCACUCCGCCUGGGGAGUACGACCGCAAGGUUGAAACUCAAAGGAAUUGACGGGGACCCGCACAAGCGGUGGAGCAUGUGGUUUAAUUCGAAGCAACGCGAAGAACCUUACCAAAUCUUGACAUCCUUUGACAACUCUAGAGAUAGAGCCUUCCCCUUCGGGGGACAAAGUGACAGGUGGUGCAUGGUUGUCGUCAGCUCGUGUCGUGAGAUGUUGGGUUAAGUCCCGCAACGAGCGCAACCCUUAAGCUUAGUUGCCAUCAUUAAGUUGGGCACUCUAAGUUGGCUGCCGGUGACAAACCGGAGGAAGGUGGGGAUGACGUCAAAUCAUCAUGCCCCUUAUGAUUUGGGCUACACACGUGCUACAAUGGACAAUACAAAGGGCAGCGAAACCGCGAGGUCAAGCAAAUCCCAUAAAGUUGUUCUCAGUACGGAUUGUAGUCUGCAACUCGACUACAUGAAGCUGGAAUCGCUAGUAAUCGUAGAUCAGCAUGCUACGGUGAAUACGUUCCCGGGUC